rnacentral:lncRNA from 1 species
AUGUUAGCUAUUUUUAUUACCUUUCUAUUUCCUUAGCAAAUAACAAACAGGCUAGGGUAGUGUAUAAAUCACACAUAUAAAAAGUAUACAUGAAUGAGGCAUUAUAUUCAAUGAUGUGGAAUAGUGAGAGAAUUUAGGUUUUGAGAAGAAUUCAAAAUAACUGAGAGGUAUGCUAGAAUUUGACAAAGUGAAUGAGGAUAAACUAAAGAAAAUUUACAAAUAUUGUAAGGAGUCCAGAUGAAGGUAAAAAAAAAAAAAAUAUAUAUAUAUAUAUAUAAUUUCACAACCAAUUUUUUUUAGCUCCUUUUACUAAUACCUAUCAAUUUGAAAACAAAUGAAAAGCAGUCAAAUGAUACAGUUUCCUGGAUUUGGGGAAUGAGGAAAGCAUACCAAAAGAAAGUUGGUAAAACACAAAGAAUAUGACUGGUUUGGGGUCUAAGCUGAGUAAACACUCAACUGAAAUCCUAAGGUGGUGAGCUAGGGCAGUGGGUCAUUUUAUUUAUUAUUUCUUAUUCUUUGGCAAUACUAAAUCUUUCUAUAGGAUAUUCUUUCCUUUAGUUAAAACAAAGCUAACACACAAGAUUAGAAAAUUAAACUUAACCCAUUUUUUUUUUAAAUCAGUUUCCCUCUUCAGGAGGUUAUUUGAAUUGAGAAAUAAUUGUCAAGAAAUGGCAGGACUUUACUACAAAUUUCCCUAAAUUGAUAGUGGGAUAGGUAACUACAUACAGACCACUGCUAUCCAAUGUGACCAUGGGCUGCAGAGUCCUUUUGACUUGGGGGGAAAAAAACCCAGUAAAUUUGUUAUGGGAUGAUUAUUCAAAGGAGCAGGUCCAAGGGGAUAGCAUAGACCAUAAGGGAGAGUUACAAAUGACUCAGUGAAAAUCAAAACAUGAUUGAAUAUGCUGAUACAUUUUAGUGAGUGAUGACUCCUUUAGCUAUAACAUUUGAACUAAAAUACCCAUUUAUACAUUUGACAUAUUAAUUAAAUUAAGUGUUUAAAAAAAAAAAGAUCUAAUGUUGUAUCAAACAGCACAGUACCUGGCACAUAGUAAGUGCAAAAUAAAUUUUUUGUUAUCACAUGAUUUAAAGUCAACCUUGAAGUUGAAAUUUUCCAUUUAUCCUAGGCAAGAUAAUUUACAACUUGUUCUCCCCAGAGGCUUAAAAUCCAAUUACAUCAUACAGAUCAUUAAAAGUCACACAUGGUGUCCUAAAGGGAUAGAGAGUUGGAGUGUAAUGACAAUUACUCCCAUUAAAAGUGCAUAUGAAUGGGGAGGCUGGGUUACCUGUGUUUCCUUUGCUUUUCCCAUCGGAAUAUGCCUUAUGUAAUCCAUCAAUCAGGAGAAUUAAUGGUGUGACUAGCAAUUCAGGCCAUACGGAGAUAAUCAAGGCAUCAUAAAUCGUGUUAGAGCAAAUAAAGCCUGCAAAAUGGGACUGCUAGCACAGCAAUCAAAUUUCAAAACUGCCUGCCUGCACUAGAAACUGCGUCGAUAAUGAAGAGCAAAGGUGAACAGAGAAAAUGUCAGCUAGGAAAGAGUAUACCAACUCUUAGGAAUAGAGGACAGAACAGAUUUUGAGGGUCUUCUGGGAGUAAGACACCUUUAAACAAAAGGUCUGUGUAACCCCACUCCUCCUCACUGCUCAAUGCCUUUAGCUGUAUCU